GCGUUCCUCGGGCUGACGACGGCCGAGAGAGCGAACCUGAUGCAAAGACAGAGAAAACUCCCUCAAGCCUUCUCUCUCAGACAAAACCCAUUCAAUCUUGGAGUGGUGAGGAACCUGGUGAACUUCUUCCAAUGGCGUUGCUGUGGUCUCUGUAAGCCCAUGGUGCUGGACUGGACUCAACAGUAUCCCAUGGGUCUCAGCAGAGACCAUCCCAUGUUCAGCGGCCCCGAUGCUGUUUGACCCCCAGCGAUCAGUCACCCACUCAGGGAGAGCGACGUCCCCAGUUAUGGAGCCAUUGGUUUGAUUUUAAUGCCUUUUUAGUGAUGGAAAUGAAGAACAGACUGAAUGCUAAUUUGGAUAAUCAUUUGUUCUGUUUGCAAGAACAUCCACCUUUUCUAUUUGAGCGAAAUAUAUGUGCUGUGCGUUCAAGGUUAGAUUUUGCCUUACAGCUUAUGUUGUACAUAAGGAUGAAUACAUGUUUAUAAGCAUACGGAUAUAUUUUGAACAGAAAUAUUUUGUAAGGUACGGUAAGAUCACGUUUUGGGUUUUACUCCCAAGUCCUUUUACAGGAAGUGACCACUAUAUGCUCUUUGUGAAAAGAUUCGUAAAUCAGAGCAAUUUUAUUUCUGCAAAUUUAGUAGCUGAUAUUGGACACAUGCUGAAAAUCGGAUUUCUUGUCAUUUUGAGAACCGUAAAUCCCUUGAUGAGUCAAAACGCAUUUGAAAUGACUUGACGCUACGGUCAGAUGCAU